rnacentral:rRNA from 1 species
GAUGAACGCUAGCUACAGGCUUAACACAUGCAAGUCGAGGGGAAACGAUAGAGAAAGCUUGCUUUUUCUAGGCGUCGACCGGCGCACGGGUGAGUAACGCGUAUCCAACCUGCCCACCACUUGGGGAUAACCUUGCGAAAGUAAGACUAAUACCCAAUGACGUCUCUAGAAGACAUCUGAAAGGGAUUAAAGAUUUAUCGGUGAUGGAUGGGGAUGCGUCUGAUUAGCUUGUUGGCGGGGUAACGGCCCACCAAGGCAACGAUCAGUAGGGGUUCUGAGAGGAAGGUCCCCCCACAUUGGAACUGAGACACGGUCCAAACUCCUACGGGAGGCAGCAGUGAGGAAUAUUGGGUCAACGGGGCGAGAGCCUGAACCAGCCAAGUAGCGUGCAGGAUGACGGCCCUAUGGGUUGUAAACUGCUUUUAUAAGGGAAUAAAGUGAGCCUCGUGAGGCUUUUUGCAUGUACCUUAUGAAUAAGGACCGGCUAAUUCCGUG